AUUGAACGCUGGCGGCAGGCUUAACACAUGCAAGUCGAGCGGGGGAGGUUGCUUCGGUAACUGACCUAGCGGCGGACGGGUGAGUAAUGCUUAGGAAUCUGCCUAUUAGUGGGGGACAACAUUCCGAAAGGAAUGCUAAUACCGCAUACGCCCUACGGGGGAAAGCAGGGGAUCUUCGGACCUUGCGCUAAUAGAUGAGCCUAAGUCGGAUUAGCUAGUUGGUGGGGUAAAGGCCUACCAAGGCGACGAUCUGUAGCGGGUCGGAGGGGAUGAUCCGCCACACUGGGACUGAGACACGGCCCAGACUCCUACGGGAGGCAGCAGUGGGGAAUAUUGGACAAUGGGGGGAACCCUGAUCCAGCCAUGCCGCGUGUGUGAAGAAGGCCUUUUGGUUGUAAAGCACUUUAAGCGAGGAGGAGGCUACCGAGACUAAUACUCUUGGAUAGUGGACGUUACUCGCAGAAUAAGCACCGGCUAACUCUGUGCCAGCCGCCGCCGUAACAC
rnacentral:rRNA from 1 species